CAGUCGCCGCGGGAAUACGAAGGGUGCUAGCGUUGUUCGGAAUUACUGGGCGUAAAGCGCACGUAGGCGGAUAUUUAAGUCAGGGGUGAAAUCCCAGAGCUCAACUCUGGAACUGCCUUUGAUACUGGGUAUCUUGAGUAUGGAAGAGGUUAGUGGAAUUGCGAGUGUAGAGGUGAAAUUCGUAGAUAUUCGCAGGAACACCAGUGGCGAAGGCGGCUAACUGGUCCAUAACUGACGCUGAGGUGCGAAAGCGUGGGGAGCAAACAGGAUUAGAUACCCGUGUAGUCCCUGUCUCUAUACA
rnacentral:rRNA from 1 species